GGACUACCGGGGUAUCUAAUCCGUUUUGCUCCCCACGCUUUCGUGCCUCAGUGUCAGUAACAGAAUAGUUAACUGCCUUCGCCUUUAUUGAUGUUCUUCUAUAUAUCUGUGCAUUUUACCGCUCCACAUAGAGUUCCGUUAACCUCUCCUGCACUCAAGCCAAACAGUAUUACCAGUUUCCACGAAGUUGAGCCUCGAUUUACCACUGAUAACUUGUCAGGCCACCUACGCACCCUUUACACCCAAUAAUUCCGGAUAACGUUCGCCACCUACGUCUUACCGCGGCUGCUGGCAC
rnacentral:rRNA from 1 species